AUCCGGCCACCGCGGUCUCCGGGGCUGCCCUCGGGCCUGGCUCGCCCGCGGGCGGAUGGCUCCGGGUCUCUGCUGCUGAGGAUGUGGCUGCCGGGCGGAGGUCGUCCACUCCCCUGGGCCUUUCUCCGCGAGCCCUCCCACGCCGCCCGCUCCUCUCCCGGGGCGAAGGGCGGGGACGAGGCGCGCCGAAGCCCCGAGCUGAAGAGAAGGGUGGGGGCAUGAGGGCGCUGGAGUGAGGAACAGAUUGGAGCCUUCCCACUUCCUCUCCAAUCUCAGCCCCCGGGAGGAGGGGUGAGGCCCUCGAGGGGGCCCGGAGUUAAGGAGGAAUAGACCGUUUCUCUCUCUCCUGUCUCCCCCGCCUCUGCCCGUCUUCCCUCUAAGCCGGCCUCUAGGUGCAGAGGCUGACGUCCAGGAUGGGGACCGGGGAAGCCUCUGGAGGGUAUAUCCGGGAAGGCACCAAGGCUGAAGUGAGAGCGGUUCUGGGGAAGGCUUUAAAAAGCAGAUAUGGACCAGGGUAGAGUUCGUACGCUGUAGCUUUUCAAGAACACCGAUCUCAUUAAUUAAAGAACAGCAACUAUUUAAUUCCAGUUAUAAACUAUUGUUUUCCAGUUAGUCUGGGUAGGUGUGGCCGUUUGUAGAAUAGUUAGAUUACAUUAGUCUAUUGCGUUGGUACAGUUGUCUAUAGCUUGAGCAUAUAAAAACUCCUGAGCCCAGCAGAAAAGUUACUUUCCAAUACCAGUCUCCAUCCUCCGUGCUUUGGAAGUUGCAUCGUUUUCCGGUUUUUCGUACUCAAAGAACACUGUCAAUUAUGACAGCUCUGUGACCUCUGAAAGAUGCAGUCUAGCACCUCAGUUAAGAAUAUGGACUCUAAAGUCAGACUGCCAGGCUUCAAAUUCCAGUUCUGCGACCUCAGCAAAGUUACUUAACCAAGCUCUCAGUGCCUUGUUUUCUUCAUCUGUAAAAUGAGGAUGACGUCACAGCAUUGUUGAGAGAAUUAAUACAGGCUCCAGACUUGUGAAUGGAGAAGUGUUGAGGUGACCCCAGCUCCAGCCACCAGCUGACGACAACCAUACCGGAGAUCCUGAGAGCUGCCUAGCUGACCCCAGGCACCCCCCAGACUUAUUCAGCACUUAGAAGAAUGCCAGGCAGGCUUUCCCCACCAACCAAGAUGGAAUAACAGGGAAAAGACAUACCCUUCUAUCUUCAAUAAUUGGAAACCCAGACAAAGUUUAUGAAACGCUGGUUUUCAAGACAUAGGACAUCAGACAAUCAAGGACAGUAAACACUGAGAUGGGAAACAAACAAGGAUGUUACAAAGGACACAGAUCAAGAGCCAGCUGGAAGAGAUGCACAGGGAAGGGGUGCGGAGCUCCCAUGCCCUCUCCAGGGCACCACCCUCCAGGCACCUCCAUGUGUUCAGCUAUCUGGAAGCUCCCCAGACUCUGUCCUUUUGGGUUUUCAUGGAAGCUUCAUUAUGUAGGCAUGAAUAAUUAUAUCAUUGACCACUGGUGACCAACCCAAACUUCAGAUCCUUUCCCUUCCCCAGAGGUUGGAGGGUGGGGCUGAAAGUCCCAGCCCUCUAAUCAUGGCUGGGCCACCAUUUACCUCAUUAGCAUACAAAAGACUCCUGUUGCUUUAGAGAUUCCAAGGGUUUGGGAAGCUAUAUGUCAGGAGACAGGAGAAGACCAAAUAUAUAUUUCACAGUAUCACACACACAUACUCUCUUGAUCACAGGUGAAGUUUUGCCCAAAGCAACAGAAGUGAAGCAAGCUUCUAUUCUCACAGAGGUUUGGGUCCGGUAGAUACUAAUAACUUCUAUUCUCUGAUGCAUUGUAGUAGGGCAGACAUUAAGCAUUUCAUGUGCAUUUUUUUUUUCUUUUUGAGACAGGGUCUCACUCUAUCUCCCAGGCUGGAGUGCAGUGGCACUAACACAGCUCACUGUAGCCUCAAUCUGCAGGGCUUAAGCGAUCCUCCCACCUCAGCCUCCUGAAUAGCUGGGAUUACAGGCAUGCACUACCAUGACCAGCAUAUUUGUAUUUUUUGUAGAGACGGGUUGUUACUAUGUUGCUCAGGCUAGUCUUGAACUCCUGACCUCAGCCUCCCAAGUAGCUAGGAAUACAGGCACAUGCCACCACAGCCAGCAUAUUUUUGUAUUUUUUGUAGAGACAGCUUACUGCCAUGUUGCUUAGGCUGAUCUUGAACUCCUGAGCUCAAGGGCUCCACAGGCCUUGGCUUCCCAAAGUGCAAGGACUAAGGUGCAACUGCCACACCCAGCCUUUCAUAUGUAUUAUCUUAUUUAAGCUUCACUUUACAAGUGAGAAGGGCAGCCUUGGCUCAGAGAAGUUAGGUGACUUGCAGCAAAUCACAUAAUUGCUAAGUGAUGGAUCUGAGCUUUAGCCCCAGGACUAUCUGACCUUGGGUCUAAACUUAUACUACUGUAUUUUUCGUUAAGUCAGUCAGAGUUCUAUCCUUUGACAGAAAGUAUAACCUUCUUUUAAGGCAGAAUAAGACCCUCUGCCCAACCCUGCUCUUUCUUUCUCCUCCGCACUAAGAAGACAGCGAAUACAGUAGAGGGUUUUGGACUGGGAUAGUGGUUGCAGAGAAGAUCUGGAACUAAAAAUAUGGACCAGGGGUAGAAAUGGUGGUGAUUCCACCAAACUUGGAAACACUUAACAAGACCCCAUAACAUGCAAGAUAUGCAAGAAAUGGGGUACAUUUUCUAUACCAGUGCCUUAAGUAAAAAAAUUCCUUGUUAAACAAAUGAUUUAGAGAAGACAGAACCAAAUAUAUAUAUAUAGCUGUGUGUGUAUUCUAAUAAAGGUUGUUAAAGUCUUAAAGUUAGUGGUGGGAGAAAACAAUAAAAAAAUAUGAAAUCUCCCUAUGUUAAUAAACUAAUUUCAAAUACCAA
rnacentral:lncRNA from 10 species